rnacentral:rRNA from 1 species
GACGAACGCUGGCGGCGUGCCUAAUACAUGCAAGUCGAGCGGACCGAACAGGAGCUUGCUCUUGUUCGGUUAGCGGCGGACGGGUGAGUAACACGUGGGUAACCUGCCCGUAAGACCGGGAUAACUCCGGGAAACCGGAGCUAAUACCGGAUAACACCGAAGACCGCAUGGUCUUUGGUUGAAAGGCGGCUUCGGCUGCCACUUACGGAUGGGCCCGCGGCGCAUUAGCUAGUUGGUGAGGGAACGGCUCACCAAGGCGACGAUGCGUAGCCGGCCUGAGAGGGUGGCCGGCCACCCUGGGACUGGGACACGGCCCAGACUCCUACGGGAGGCAGCAGUAGGGAAUCUUCCGCAAUGGACGAAAGUCUGACGGAGCGACGCCGCGUGAGCGAAGAAGGUCUUCGGAUCGUAAAGCUCUGUUGUUAGGGAAGAAGAAGCGUCGUUCGAACAGGGCGGCGCGGUGACGGUACCUAACGAGAAAGCCCCGGCUAACUACGUG